GACGAACGCUGGCGGCGUGCUUAAUACAUGCAAGUCGAGCGAGGUUGCUGUUUCGGAUCCCUUCGGGGUGAAGAAGCUUUAACCUAGCGGCGGACGGGUGAGUAACGCGUGGGUAACCUACCCCAAAGUCCGGGAUAACAGCGGGAAACCGCUGCUAAUACCGGAUGUCUUUACCUUGGGGCAUCUUGAGGUAAAGAAAGGUAACGCUUUGGGAUGGGCCCGCGUCCCAUUAGCUAGUUGGUGAGGUAACGGCUCACCAAGGCGACGAUGGGUAGCCGGCCUGAGAGGGUGGACGGCCACACUGGGACUGAGACACGGCCCAGACUCCUACGGGAGGCAGCAGUAGGGAAUAUUGCGCAAUGGACGGAAGUCUGACGCAGCGACGCCGCGUGAGCGAUGAAGGUCUUCGGAUCGUAAAGCUCUGUCCUUGGGGAAGAAGGUCUUCGGACUUGACGGUACCCAAGAAGAAAGCCCCGGCUAACUACGUG
rnacentral:rRNA from 1 species